rnacentral:rRNA from 1 species
AGCUUCAGUAGCGUAUAUUAAAGUUGUUGCAGUUAAAAAGCUCGUAGUCGCAUUUCUGGCGAGAGGAUCCGGUCCGACCUUUUGGUGGGUUCUUGGGUCUCUUUCGCCAUCCUUGAGUGGUCCGUUCUGGCAUUAGGUUGUCGGAGCGUCAGCCGCUCAUCGUUUACUGUGAGAAAAUUAGAGUGUUCAAAGCAGGCUUAUGCCGUUGAAUAUAUUAGCAUGGAAUAAUAAGAUAGGACCUCGGUACUAUUUUGUUGGUUUGCGAGCCAAGGUAAUGAUGAACAGGGACAGUUGGGGGUAUUUGUAUUUCGUUGUCAGAGGUGAAAUUCUUAGAUUUACGAAAGACAAACUACUGCGAAAGCAUUUACCAAGGAUGUUUUCA